rnacentral:lncRNA from 1 species
CGACCGACAUUUAACUUACUUUUUAAUUCAUAGCUUACAUAAUAACAACAACAUAAAUAAUGUAAUUUGGAAAUGAAAGUAUAUUAAUAUUUAUCAGCUGUAAACGCUGCGAAUAAAGGAACAAAAAAGAUUUUUGCUGAACAAAAUAAGUCAUUUUAAUCAAUAUAUAGCAUACACGUUACGUAUCGUGGUACAUCAGACGGAACGGUUAUUUACUCCAGACCUAUCGAAUUGAUUGUAAGUAUUGACACGUCUAUUUAUUACAAAUGCUAUAUUUACUGCUAAUAUUAUGUUAUUAAAAUUACAAGGGCCGUAAAUUACAUAGAGGCAUGUAGACAGUUGCCUCCUAAUUGCGGACUGACAUAAAAAGAAAAAAAUGAGGAAAAAAAAACACUGUAAAGAAAUAAAUUGGUUAAAAUCAUUAUUUUAAUAGCACUUGUUUUUAAUAUUACGUCUAUUAAGGAGUUUGGGUCUAAAUGUACUAAAGAGCAAGCAACCAAACACAAGCAGCUAUACCGAAAUAUAUAUAACAAAUACUAUUGCUUCUGUUCGCCUUGCCAGUUGGGUCUAUCGAUCUUGCAGUUGUGAGAGAUCGUUUUCUGCCCUAUGCCACCUUAAAACAUGGAACAGGUCAACAAUGACAGAGCAGAUUCACGGUAUGGUCUGGCUAUGCUACACAUACAUAGAUGUUACAAUGUUGGCAAUAUUGAAUGCAAACAAGUGCUAAAGACAUGGGAUUCAGAUACAUCCCCUUAGUAUUUGACAAAGCCUUUCAGAAUAAAUAUGUCAGUGUAAACAAACAGUGUUACCUUAUAAGUUGUUAAGGAGGCUCGCGGGUAUAAAAAUUUCAGAAAAAAUUUAUACGUUUUUGUUUUCAUUACAAUUUAUUUCAUUACUUUAUUAGUUGUUACUUUAUCAUAUGGAGCAAAAAUCAUUAAAAAAAUCAAUUCGUUUUGGCCCCAGAUGACUUUAAAAAUGUAUAUAUCAUUGAAUAAGCUCCAAAGUAUCUCCCUUUGGUGCAAAAAUGCCAUUUUUUGGUAUUAAAAUUGAAAUAUAUUUUUAACUCAUCGGUGACCUAUAUUUUUUAUAAUUAUUUUCAAAUAAGCUGUACUUAAACUAAACGACAUUGUAGUGUAAUAUUUGGGUGAUUUCUGUAAUUUAGUUCUUUUUUUUAUUUCGAUAUUACCUUUAUUUCCCCUAUUAGUUCAACAGAAAAACAAGUUGCUUUCUUUAAAAAAAGAAAAGCAUGCAUGCCCUAAGACCGCUGACUGCCGUGUCACAAGAUUGUGCUGAAUUGUGUUGCUUUUGAAUUGAAAUAAUUGACUCUGAAUAAGAGCCAGAUGAAAGUAUAUAUUUACAGCUUCUGUUUGAAGGUUAUUUUAAAGCUCGCUAUUUUAUUUAUUACUUGGAAGUACAUAAUUUUCCGAUUAGAACCCUUUGGCAAAUCUGAUUUCUACUAACGGAUGGCUAUGCAAAUUGCACAAUUUAAUAUCGCAAUCUAAAUUUAUGCACAAGUUUGCUUUAUAAGCUGGAAUGGGAUGCAUUUAUUUUAACUACUUAUCAAUUUAUAUAUUUGUUUCCUACAUGAAUGUCUAUGUUCUCAAUCGUAUUUGAAGCGUCUUUACUAUGGUAGAUGUUGUUGCGGUGAAACCUGUGACAUGCAAUUGAUUGGGAACUCUUAUGAAGAGACUUAUUUUGGUCUCAUAAAACAUCUCAAAUUUUAAUGUUUCCUGAUGUUACAGGAAAACUUAGUUUUGCUGAAGAAUUUAUUAAUUCAGAAGUUUAUGAAUACCCGUACACACUUUUAAAAUAACCAAUUUAUAUAAAAAGGUAUGUAGAUAUAAAAAGAUACCAGAAUUAAAAUGAUGUACGCCAGACACGAGUUAAGUCUACAAAAAAAGCAUCAGUGACGCUCGAAUUAAAGUGAAAAGGGGCUAAAUACAUUACAAAGUUAAGGAAUCUAUUCCUUGGGUAGACAAUCCUUAGCUUUUCGAAAACGGUCAAAGUUUAUAAUAGAACAGUUGCUCAAAAAAGAAACAAAAGAGAAACAACUCGAGGUUAGAAUACCGUUAGUAAUGAUGACCGUGCUUGAAAGUCACAUGUAAAGCUCUUUCUACCGUGUCCUGAAUUUAUAGAAACAAAGAAAAUAAGCUUUCACGAGUUGAAUUUUAAAAUAGGAUUGCAUGCAAUGUAUAUUUAGCGCACGAAUAGUAAAUAAAGCAUCUCACUGAUACUCAGGAAAAGAAUACGCAUUUGCGUCAUCACAUAUCUUAAACUUAUAGUUGAAUUCGAAUGUCAAACGGCCUACAUUAAAGGUUUUGACUCCGGAUUAUUGACAUUUUAUCCGGAAUUUUUUGAGAACGCAAACCGAUAGUGUGCUUUGAAAUCACGGUGAUCUAUAAUGUGAAUGAAUCAAACGUGAAGGAUAGUUGGUCAACACAGUGAAUACAAUUUUCAAAAGUACCAUAGUACAAAUAUGUAGAUGCUAUAAGGUACUAAAACUAUUGAAACAAACAAACAAAAAUGAAUUUUAAAAUUUUAUAAUAAAUAACGUUCCCUGUUAGUAUUUUUUUCAAAUUCUUUUAAAUAUAUAUAAUAUCAAUAAACAAGAACGUCAAGUAUUUACGGAUGGACAUAUUAUUUAUCGAAUGAAUUUAUUUUUAAAUUCUGACAUUCCACUUUAAAUUGUGAAUAUAUUACUAUACAAACUAUAAGCAAAGACUUCUAAAUCCAUACUAAAACAGUAUAAAAUAAUCAACAUUAAUAUAAUUGUAAUUAAAUUUUUUGUGAUUAUGUAAAUCAUUUUAUGGUUGUUGUGAGCUGCAAGGAUUUAAAUUCAUGCUUAUUGAUUAGAAAACACACAAGUAUUUUUAUUCACGACCGUUUUAAAAUUAAAUAUUGAAUAAAUUUAUCUUACUUUCCGUUUUAUGGAUAUAUUACAAUACAAAAAAAAUAAAUAAUAAUUACUCAUAAAAGUUAAGUACUUAAAUGGUAUGAAAUAAUUAACGUAGAAAUAUAAUGAUUAUUGUUUAUAAACAUUUUUUUUGAAGGAUGCAAGAAUUUAUUAGAUUUAAUUUUUAUGUUUCCUUUACAAAUGAAUAUUUAAAAAUACCAAAGCAGAGUAUAUUGUCAUAUAAAAUACUUAUUUCUUAAAUGCAACUCUGAAAAUAUUCUGAUUUCAAUCAUUGUUAGUUUCUUCAGAAACAUAAAUACAGUAUAUAUUUUGAAUACAGUAUAUUUCUUUGAUUCCGAUUGAAUUAAAUUAUUUUGAUAAGAAUAUUAUCUUUCUGUUUUCCGAUCUAAUAUUAAUAUUUUAAUCAGAAUGUUCUCUCCCGUAAGUCUAUGAUGAAAUACACAGUAUCCCGUGGUUGAAUCUUCAAACAUAAUUAGUUUACAUGUUAUCGAGUCAACAGACAAUACCACGUUAUAAUUGACCCAGAUACACACAGUGUACAGUGGUCGUUUUAAAACAAAUAUAAUUGCGUCGUCAAGGGCCAUCAAGGGACCAUAUCAAAGACGUAGAUAACAACCUGUUAAGACCUAACCCGAAUAAUUCAGUCGUUAUAUUCCGCUGAUCUACGAAGGCUACAUUACAUCUCCUCGUGUGGGAGAAAAUUUGACACGGAAAGGGCUUGAAUUAUUCGAGUUAGUUAAGACCUGUAUAAAUGACCGAAAACUUUCAAGACGUUCCGAGAAAUUUUUCUGACUUCCGUCCGAGAGAUAUCGAGUGGCCCAUAGACACAUCCAAAACUCGCCAAUAUAUAAGCAUGAACCUGAGGGGUUCAUGCAAAAAGUAAUUUUACAAAUAUGUAUGCUUCUUUCGAAGGCAGAUUGUGAGCUUAAAUGAACGGUGACCCCAUUUCUUUAUUUCAUUUUUCUAUUAAGUACAAGAUAACGUUCAGUAAUAAAACAUAUAGGGACAUCCUAUAUUUGAAACAAAAUGUGGUUUAUACCCGCGAGCCCCCUUAAGUAUACUGUAUGCAUUUUCAUUUUAAGGUUUGAAAAUUGUUGUGUCUUUGAAACGUUGUCAAGAUUUGGACAGCCAAAAAAGCAUAAUAAGCCACAAAAAAAUGAAUACAUAAUUGUUGUAAAAUAUACUAACAUUGCAUUAAUUUGAAACAGUAAUCUGUUAAUAAAUACCACUUUUAUAAAUAUUCAAGCAUUAUAGAGAAAGUUUGUUUAAACUGGGGAAUUGGAGGUAUAAAUUGUGCUACCUUAACAUGCUUAGUGGUUGUCGUGUGUUACAGUUUAACAUAUUUGUUUUUUUGGAACAAAAAAUUAGGCCAAUAGAUUUUUCGUUUGAAUUGUUUUACAAUUGCCAUUAUUUUGGGGUUUUUAUAACUGACUAUGCGGUAUAGGUUUUGCAAAUUGUUGGACCCCGUACGAUGACCUAUAGUUGUAAUUUCUGUAACUUUUUGGCUUUUGUUGAUAGUUGUCUCAGUAGCAAUCAUACCAAAUCUUCUGUUUAAUAUUUACACUUUUCUUUUACUAAUCUUGUCAUUUUCUUUUCUUCUUCUGCUUUACUUGAAUGUGUAUAGUAAAAAACAAUUAUGAGUACACUAUAAUAAUGUGGAUGAUUUUUUAUUUUUUUUUUCUAAUUUGUUGUGGUAUUGAUAUUAUGGGUAUCUGAUUAACAUUCUUUUAUAAAUCCUUCGUUUUCUGUAAAAAUUGUUUUAUUUCAUCGUUGUUUGAUAACCUUGUUCAAUGGUACUCAAAUCAUAAUUUAUAAUAUAAUUACACAUAAAAGAGGGACGAAAGAUACCAGGGGGACAGUCAAACUCAUAAAUUGAAAAUAAACUGACAACGCCAUGACUAAAAAUGAAAAAGACAAACAGACAAACAAUAGUACACAUGACACAACAUAGAAAACUAAAGAAAAAAACAAUACGAAACCCACCAAAAACUAGGGGUGAUCUUUUAUUUUAUAUAUUAGUUAACUUUGAAGCAAACGAAUAAUGUUAUGUGUGACUGUUUUAUUCAGGCAAAACUACGUCAGAAAGGGAAUCUAUUAAGCAGAAAGCUAUAUCUUAAUUAGUUCUACAUUUCUUUAAGUAAAUGUAUCAUAAGAUAUGUGGUUUUGUCUGUUUUUUUGUAUUAGCUGUAGUUUGGGAAAAUAAAGGUGAGUAAAGUAGAUGGCAUUUUCGUCAUUAGGGCUAGUUUAAAUUUUACGCAUAAAAACAAUUAUAAUUAGUAACUUAGAGUAGAAAGAUAUGUGUUUCAGUAUUUUUUCAAAACUGUUACAGACACUCUCUCAUGAAAGAAGAUAAAGGUAAAUAAGCGACACAAUCGUUGCAUUUGCAGUUUUGAUGAGAUUCGUGCUGCUCAGUAUAUAUUGUAGUACUUUAGUCUGUUCCGUCUUUUUCCUAUUGUUUACGCUCUCCACCGUCCUAUAAAGAGUGACUAGUGAAUAGAAAUUUGCCAACUUAAGUCUACUGUCGACAGGCAGUACAAUCCUUGGUGGGGCGUCCUUUUUGCAGUGCGGAAUGUUUAAGUACACAGCCACGUCUGUUCAGAAAAGGCGAUACGUCCUGUUAAGAUAGUGGUACACUAUCUGCUCGUUAAGAGCUUUUGAUUGGUCGUUGGAGGUAUUAAACAUUGCUAAAUUUCUAUCUCUAUCCAAUAUACUCUACUUUUCAAAUGUCAGUCAAAAUUUCAUUCACUUCACUCCCAGACGGCCUCAUUACCGGACCUACCUAUUUUAUUUAUUGUUUAUGUCCGAAUAAUGCACGAAACAUUAUAUGGUAUUACAAUCAAUUAUGUUGGCCUUUUUUUCGGUGUUUCUUCAAUUAUUGAGCUUUGAUUCUCAUUUUGUUAUAGACCGCCUUUUUUAUGAAGACAUCAUUUAUCAUCUUUUUUCAUUAUUUAUAUAAUUUAUUUAGAAUAGAUUUGCUUUUACAAACUAAAUCGUGGAUAAGAACACUGGAUAGAACCCAGGUAUAAAACAAAACCCUAGCUAUGUUGAUUUUCUUUAAGAAAAAAACUUCCUCAGGUACCAACAAAGGAGUAGGUACGGUAAGGGCCAAUUUUGGCCUCAAAUUUCAGGUUCAUCUGACGAAAGAUUUUGGACACUUUUUGAACACUUAAGUGUAUAUUUCAGUUGAUUCAAUUAGUUUAUGUGAAAGAUUUUAAAUGAUUAAGACGUUACGCACGGUAUUCGGUCUAUGUUUCAUUUUACCAUUUCUUGAUGCAUAAGUAUGACAAAAACAAAUCAAAUCUACGCAUUAUUGAAUAGUAACUUGUCUUGAUUUUUCAUUUGAAUCGAAAUUAAAUAAAACCUGAUUUUAAUAAAUUUAAUGUUAUGUCUCAUUAUAUGAUUAAACAAUGAUUUUGUGUUCAUAAUUUGCCGUAUUUGCCGUGUAAGACGUAACAACAAGCGCCAACCAUCCAAAUAUAAACGAAGAAAAAAUACUAACUACUGAAUGGAUUUCGAUAAAAUUUGUACAGAUGGGAUAUGAUAUGAUCAUAUUUAUUAUGUUAAACGGUCACGAUAAAUAUCCUGUCAGUUCGCAAUCUAGCAGCCAUUUUCGAAAUUCCAUAUAGCUGUAAGAUUUGAAAAUUCGAGUACACAAAAAUGAAAGCUAACACUUCAAUAUUAUAAUAUUUUCAUAUAAAUAAUAGGAAAGGUUCGCCACCUCUACAUAAAAAUGUGAUUUUAUUGAAUUUUACAAAAAUAUUUUUAUUUUUAACAUAGCUUCUCCCAUUUUUUUUUUUUUUUUUAGUAUUUUCCGUGUCUCCCGUAAAUGUUACCAUAGAGCCAUUGUUCAAGAUUUUUUAGUACGAUGAUAAUUUAGGGUAUUUUAAAUUUGUGACAGACAAAUGAACUAUGCAAACAAAUGUUAUUACUGAAAUAGUAUUUAGGCUUUUUUCAAAAAAUAUUUGAUUUGUGUUAUUUCAAUUGAUUUUAAAAGAUUUUAACUUUAAGUCAGUCUCAAGGUUUAAGGACGCCAAAUUUUUAUGUAUUUUCAUCAAUAUUUUCCAUUUAAGCCGUUUUCAAAUCCUAAUGUCCGUGUCUCCCGUAAUGUGAACGUCCACCAAAAAGUUGUACUAAUUUUUUUAAGAUUUGGUUAAGCGACACGCAAAUUUUUCAUCAAUUGCCAUCAAGUUGUCCGUGUCUCCGUAAUGUUACCACGUCCAAAUUGAACGAUUUUUGCACGGAACGUGAAUGUAACGUUAUAAUAUAUAAUUGUAUUUCCCAUUUACUGAAAGUGUAGCAUGUUGUGUCUUUAGCAUUUGACACGUUCUGUGUAAUGAUAUUAUUUUGGGAGAUAUUUUUUUUGAAUAAUUAUUUAAAUCAACAAGAAAAUUUGACUUCCAUCAAAAUUUUAAGCCAUGUGCUGAUGUUAAAAGCGCAGGAUGUCGGAUAAAUAAAAGUAUCAUGCAAAAAAUGUAGGUAUUUUUAAUGCAAAAGAAUUGCAUUUUAAACCAAGUGACACAGAAAUUAACAACUAUAGGUCACCGUACGGACUUCAACAAUGAGCAAAGCCCAUACCGCAUAGUCAGCUCUAAAAGCAUGAUUCAAUCAUGCUUCUCUUGAUAUGAUCCAGCGAUUUUCAUGAGUUAAUUUACAUGUAAAUUUAUCAAAAUGAUACUCUAAAUUUUUGGAUGAAUAUAUAUGUAGCACAAGCUUUCAUGCCGAAGCUUUCUGUUUUUGGAUUCUAGUAACAUAUUUGCGUCUGCUAGUACGAUUGUAUAUGUUGUAUACACUAAAAGUCAUUUCCACGCAUCCGACAAACAGACGCAUUUGAAAUUACUCAUUAUAUUUCAAGGACUGUAGAUCACUUUUUAAUUUUAAAUAAAAUCAACAAUUCUAAACUGCCGUUUUCAUUUUAAAAUCUGAGGAUGAAACUAGAAUUAUAGAUAAAGCAAACAGAGGAUAAAUAGUAGCUGUUGCUGCGAUUGACCUGAACAAGGAUUUUUUUUUUUCAUUAUAAUCUUCUUGAAAGACACAUAUUUGAGAUGUUGAUAAUACGAAUAAAAAGACCUGAAAUUAUUCGCGAACUGUAGUUAAAAAACUAGUUGAAGGUGGCUAAAUAACAUUUAUACUCUUGAAGCACAAAAAGCUUUGGUACUGGCUGUUUCCAAUCGAUAUAAAUGCCUAGUCCUAGAUACUUGUGAUGACGGAAUUCUGAGAAUCAUAGAGGAUUAGCAUUUUGCAACAAUUGACAUGCUUGGGCAGUGACAAAUAUUUGAAAUAUACACUUUCAUUAUGUUAAGAAUAUGAUGUCAAAAUUAUAUACUAGUAAUCAGUCAUGUUAACAUGCUGUUUUUUUUUUAAAUAAAUAGUUAAACAUCAAAAUGCAAGCCGUUUUUUUUAAAAGCUGCAAAGCUUUGACGUUUGUUACAGAAGUAGGUUGAAAUAAUAGAAAACGACGUCGACUAACGUUACCAUUACUAAACCGAACACAGUGCAUAACGUCUAAGUCAUUAAAAACGCUCCGAUUCAAGCUUAUAUAUGAAAAAUCUAUCAAAUAUGCCAAAACAUGUCACUUUUCAGAUGUUUUUUGUCAAAAAUGAAAGUGGCCGCAUCCGUGUUCUUCCUCAACCUUUAUAUAUGUUUUGUUUUAUCAUCAAAUACAACUUACAUUCAAUAUAAGAAUAAACACAAAUGCGGCCACUUUCAUUUAAGACGGAAACCGUCUAAAAUUUAACUUAAAUGCUAAAAUUGUGAAGAUUUAAGUAAUUUAACAUGACUUAAUGAUGCUAGUUCCCGAUAUAUGUGCAUUGUAUUGUCAAAACCAGACAAUAUUUAUGUAUAGCAGAAGUAUUCUACUUUCCAAUAAAUAACUAAAAGUUUUAAUUUUUACAUUUUUUGGAAAACUGCUAUAUUUUGGGGCCAGAAAUGGGUCUUACUGAACCUACUCCUCUAUAAAUUUGAUAUACUAAACAAAAUGCUUAAUGUCAUGUGUUUUAUCUGAUUGUUCCUUUUUCGCUAUGAUAAUUAUAAUUUUUUUUUUUAAUUUCAGAACAAAUAUCUUGUUUCUUCCGUUGUUCAUAUGUGUGCUUAAUUGAUCAAUUUGGAUUUGAAGCUGGACCAUUUUUUUGUAAACUGUCUUAUUUAUCAGCAUUCGGACGACGUUCCUCUGAAGGAAAGGGUUGGCCAUUAUUUGGAGAGUCGUUUGUUGAACCUUCAGAUGUUUUUAAUAUGUGCGC